UUGAGCAAACAGUGUGAGAGUCCAGAUGAGGAUGAUGAUGUUGUUCAUUGUUGUUGUUGUGUCUUGUGUGAUGAUGAAGAUUGUGUUCUGUUCUGCUCUCAGUCAUGAAGUGUUAAACUCACAGCACUAUAAACUCUCUCAGAGCACUGAAGCAUGUGCUGAUGAUGCAAAGAAGAGGGCAGGAUUUACAACAGAUCGAGCUGCUACAAGACUGAUAUACUAGACUAGAGUUACAGAAUAUAUUACUCUAUAAAUUCUAUUAGAUGAAUCAACAUCACUAUAAGAAGAGAGUGAAUUGUGAGUUUGUUCAUAAAGUAUCAGGACUGACUGUAAAUCUCUAAUCAGAGUUCAUGGUGUCACUCUGUCUGUCAUCAAUCCUCGAGUGAGACUGAAAUUGUAAAAUGGACAGAAAACAUUCUGUUAAAAAUGGUGACAGAUGGAAACUUUAGUUUUAGCUAGAGACUCACUACAAGCCCAGAUACCUUUUUCGUUUCUUUUCUUUUCUUUUCUUUUCUUUUCUUUUCUUUUCUUUUCUUUUCUUUCUUAUAAAAACGUAACAUGAACAAAUGUGUCUUGAUUAUUUUGUCUGAAGCUGCAGGUUUUUCUGUGAAUCAUGACUGAGCUUCAUAUGAACAACAGAAGAAUCAUUCUGAGAAACUCCAUGACAUCAUCCAUGAUGAAAGAGGUCAAAGGUCAUCUCAGAGUUUGUGUUCACUCGAGUGGAAUAGAGGUUUUUGUACGAGUGUUUCAUUCGAUUGUAUCACUGUGGUGGACUUUCGGUGGAGGAACUAAACUGGUGCUCGGUAAGUCUGGCUCUUUUAACUGUCUUGUACAAAAUUGUUGAAAUGUUUUUUAAAUGAUUUUAAUAUUUAAUAUAAAUUAUUUUAUUGUCACCUUAAGAGCUUCAAAAUAACUUAAUUAUAUAUACUCAGCAAACAAUUAUUGUCCAAACACAUUACUAUAAUGUGUCACUUUGAGUUUCAUCAGUUUUAUCAUUUAGUUUGACAAAAUGCUGAUUUAUUUUCAUGCAUUUUUACACUGAUCAUAUAAAGCUAAUUUGUUUGUAGAUAUUAUACAUGAAAAAAGAGAUUUGUCAUCAGAAUGUAAAUAUAUUUUUUGUAGUUCAAAGAUUUUGAAUCUCUUUUGCUAAUAUUGUGCAUUAAAAAAACAUACAAAAUACAAAAUAUAUAAAUGUUUAGAAAUGUUUUUGAAAUAUUAUGAAAUAAUUUGCGUUUGCAUUGUAAUAGUUGGAAAAGUGUAAAAAAAAAAAAAAAAAGUAAAAUCUAAAGUCCGUAAGAACAUUUUAAGUUCAAGUGAGAUAUAAUGUAAGAACUUUAUGACGAUAUAUUAAAUUAUACUGAAAUUAUACCAGUCAGUGUCGUUGUACAUUUGGUUUCAUUUUAUGAUGUUUCAUUUAUAUAGUAUAAUAUGUAUAUAGUGUUUGUGUAGUUUGUAUAUUGUGUAUAUAUCAGCUGCAGUGAUGAUGAACAAGAUGAAUGAUGAGAUUGUUGUGAUUUUUACUGCAUCUCACACGUCUGCUGCUGAAAGUGAUGUUGAAAUGAUGUGAAUGCUGCAGGGCAGAAGAGUGCUGGAGCUGCAGUGUGUUUUCUUUGUGUUUGUGAAUGUGUUGUGUUUGUCUCCUGCAGCUGGUCCCACAGUGAAGCCCUCAGUGUCUCUCCUGCCGCCCUCUUCUCUGCAGAUCUCUGGAGACUCAGCCGCACUGCUCUGUCUGCUCAGCUCUUACUCUCCACAGGGGGCGCUGGUGAGCUGGACACUGGACGGCUCAGAGGUCACCGAGGGGGUUGUGACCAGCGCCGAGAGCGAGCAGGACGGCCGCUACAGCCGCAGUAGUGUCCUGACCCUCAGCAAAGCACGCUGGGAAGAGGGAGAGCUGUACGUCUGCAGAGUAACACAUGAUGGAGCUCCUCAUGAGGCCUCGUUCCACAAGAGUCGCUGUUAGUCACUCGCAGUGCUGAUGUUUCUCCAGUGAGCGCUGCUCUCUCCUGAAGAUGAACGUAUCUGAGUGUCCUGUGUCAGGCAGGAUUCACAUGAGUCU